rnacentral:rRNA from 1 species
CACGUAGGGGGCAAGCGUUGUCCGGAUUUAUUGGGCGUAAAGAGCUCGUAGGCUGUUCGAUAAGUCGGGUGUGAAACCUCCAGGCUCAACCUGGAGACGCCACCCGAUACUGUCAUGACUAGAGUCCGGUAGGGGAGCGUGGAAUUCCUGGUGUAGCGGUGGAAUGCGCAGAUAUCAGGAGGAACACCAAUAGCGAAGGCAGCUCGCUGGGACGGUACUGACGCUAAGGCGCGAAAGCGUGGGGAGCGAACAGG